AUUGAGUCAGUUGCCUCUGCUGUGACCGUCGGUAGAGGUAACAAACAUGUGCUUAAAUCACUCCGGUACAUCCAAGCUUAUUGCCAGCUUCUAUAGCUGUGCAAUGUGACCAAUGUACCAACAUUG